UAGGGAAUCUUCCGCAAUGGGCGAAAGCCUGCCGGAGCAACGCCGCGUGAGUGAUGAAGGUCUUCGGAUCGUAAAACUCUGUUAUUAGGGAAGAACAAAUGUGUAAGUAACUAUGCACGUCUUGACGGUACCUAAUCAGAAAGCCACGGCUAACUACGUGCCAGCAGCCGCGGUAAUACGUAGGUGGCAAGCGUUAUCCGGAAUUAUUGGGCGUAAAGCGCGCGUAGGCGGUUUUUUAAGUCUGAUGUGAAAGCCCACGGCUCAACCGUGGAGGGUCAUUGGAAACUGGAGAACUGGAGUGCAGAAGAGGAAAGUGGAAUUCCAUGUGUAGCGGUGAAAUGCGCAGAGAUAUGGAGGAACACCAGUGGCGAAGGCGACUUUCUGGUCUGUAACUGACGCUGAUGUGCGAAAGCGUGGGGAUCAAACAGG
rnacentral:rRNA from 1 species